rnacentral:rRNA from 1 species
CCUACGGGAGGCAGCAGUGGGGAAUAUUGGACAAUGGGGGGAACCCUGACCCAGCGACGCCGCGUGAGUGAAGAAGUACUUCGGUAUGUAAAGCUCUAUCAGCAGGGAAGAAAGAAAUGACGGUACCUGACUAAGAAGCCCCGGCUAACUACGUGCCAGCAGCCGCGGUAAUACGUAGGGGGCAAGCGUUAUCCGGAUUUACUGGGUGUAAAGGGGGCGUAGACGGCGAUGCAAGUCUGAAGUGAAAGGCGGGGGCCCAACCCCCGGACUGCUUUGGAAACUGUAUGGCUGGAGUGCAGGAGAGGUAAGUGGAAGUCCUAGUGUAGCGGUGAAAUGCGUAGAUAUUAGGAGGAACACCAGUGGCGAAGGCGGCUUACUGGACUGUAACUGACGUUGAGGCUCGAAAGCGUGGGGAGCAAACAGGAUUAGAUACCCGAGUAGUC